rnacentral:rRNA from 1 species
CCUACGGGUGGCAGCAGUGAGGAAUAUUGGUCAAUGGGCGCGAGCCUGAACCAGCCAAGUAGCGUGAAGGAUGACUGCCCUACGGGUUGUAAACUUCUUUUAUAAAGGAAUAAAGUGAGGCACGUGUGCCUGUUUGUAUGUACUUUAUGAAUAAGGAUCGGCUAACUCCGUGCCAGCAGCCGCGGUAAUACGGAGGAUGCGAGCGUUAUCCGGAUUUAUUGGGUUUAAAGGGUGCGUAGGCGGACAGUAAAGUCAGCGGUAAAAAUGCGGUGCUCAACGCCGUACAGCCGUUGAAACUGGCAGUCUUGAGAGGGCGAGAAGUAUGCGGAAUGCGUGGUGUAGCGGUGAAAUGCAUAGAGAUCACACAGAACUCCGAUUGCGAAGGCAGCAUACCGGCGCCCGACUGACGCUGAGGCACGAAAGCGUGGGUAGCGAACAGGAUUAGAUACCCUAGUAGUC